UACGAAGGGGGCUAGCGUUGUUCGGAAUCACUGGGCGUAAAGCGCACGUAGGCGGAUUCUUAAGUCAGGGGUGAAAUCCCGAGGCUCAACCUCGGAACUGCCUUUGAUACUGGGAAUCUUGAGUAUGGUAGAGGUUGGUGGAACAGCAAGUGUAGAGGUGAAAUUCGUAGAUAUUUGCUAGAACACCAGUGGCGAAGGCGGCCAACUGGACCAUAACUGACGCUGAGGUGCGAAAGCGUGGGGAGCAAGCAGG
rnacentral:rRNA from 1 species